rnacentral:misc_RNA from 1 species
CACGAAAACAAGCACCGUGUGCCGCUGGCUUAAGUCGCCAUAUUGAACAGUUCUGUUUAUCAGUGACUUGAGAAGAUGUUUUGUAUACUUAAGUGCCCAAAAAAGAGCAUUUCGGUGUUAUAGGAAGAAAGAAGAAGGACCAACGAAGAACAAAGAGCGUGUGGCAUCAUAACAUUAACAUUCACGUACAUUUCUUCAAGAUGGUGUGGAAGUGUUGUGUUCCACAAUAUAAGUCCACAUCUCAAAUAUCAGUACAUCGCUUCUCAAAGGAUGCAUCGAAAAGGAAACAUUGGCUAACAACUAUAGGCAAAACUGAUUUGAUCGGUGCGCCUAAAGAAAUAUUGGCCAAAUUGAGAAUCUAUAUGGAACAUUUUCCAGAAAAUAUGGUACAGCCUUAUGGGUCUAGGCGACAUCUAACCAAUAAUGCUGUACCAAUAUUACAUUUGCCUUUAAAUUUUUAACAGCAUGUUGAUAUUAACGUUAACAAUAAUAUUUGUGAGCAUGUUAGUGUAGAACAUGUUCCGAACAAUUCUGCUUUUGUGCCACUGCCCAUAAACAUGGGUGAAGAGACAGAAAAUGGGUGAAGAGCAAGAAAAAAUGAAGAGGAAGAAGAAAUCUAUGUUUUAAGAAGAAACUUGAGGACACAAUGGAAGAUGUUACACAAUAAGAAGAGGAUUAUUUAUCAUCAGCAUCAGAGAAUCAACAGACUGCAACGUGGGAAUACAUGGGAUGACAUCACGAAGGACAUGUCAAACAUACAGAAGACUUUCUUCCAAAUGUUGACGAUAAAUUUAAAAUGUUCUCCAUAGUGAGAACCAAUAAAGAUGGACUCACAUAUUGUCAUCCAUUGGCCGUAGUUAUACAGAAAGCAGGAAAGCGAAAUGCUACAUGGUGAAAAAUAUAAAAACGAAAGAGGAAGAAUAAGUACGUCGCGCUUCGGGAGGUAAUGGGGGAAGCGCGGGCGUUGCCUCUGAAAUUGGCUUGUGCUGCUCACUUAAUUCCCAGCACUGAUUUAAAGUAUUGAAUAAUACUCAAAGUAGGAGGUAUGAGCUUUUAGGAACAUACAAUGAAAGAUCCACCAAUGUCAUACAAAGAGAGGAACAAACAAUCACGAUGAAACAUAACAGUGACGACGAUGAAAUGAUGUAAAAUGAUCACCGAUAUGAAGAAAAGCAGAAAGUCCUGACUUUGACGUUGUACAAAACGAUGAGGAAGCGCGCAUAUACAUGUUUACGUACAUUACUUACACAUAUUCUAGCCAUCCAAACGUUACAAUUGGCGCUUCAUAAGAUACCCAUCACCGCUGGUUUGAACCCUUUUAUCCUGAGACACUUGGAGAAUAUAGCUCGAAAGUUGUCAAUGAAGGAGAAAGUGUGCAUUCUUAUGUGGGAUGAGGUAUCCAUACAACCACAAGUCAUGUAUGAUACUCGAAAAGAUAUAAUAGCUUGGAUAGCUAAUGUAGCUUGGAGGAUUGGGGCAACAAUCAUACCACAAAGAUGGCGGAUCACGUUUUAGUUUUUGUGCUUCGCGGAUUAAACUCGGGAUGGAAGAUGCCACUUUCGUUUAAUUUUUGCUAUAAACAAACGAGUACCGCGCAAUUAAUUCGUACCAUUAAAGAACAUAUUCAUAUAAUUAGUAACAUAGGCUUCGACAUCGUUUAUACAGUUUGUCACCAGGGCACAUCAAACGUCGCCGCAAUAAAGGAAUUAUUAUUGCGCACCGAUAUGCAACGGAAUUUUCAAAAGAAAACCCAAAGUAAAUAACAACAUUCACUACAAGUAUGGAAUUAUUAACAGUGCAUAUAAAUUUAUUUCUUUUACUCGUAAGUCAAACGUUUGAAGUUGGGAAUAAGGAAGUGAUAUCACUAUUUGAUCUUCCACAUCUCAUCAAGGGUAUCAGGAACAAUUUAUUAUCGAAGGAUUUGGCAGUGAAGUUUGUGAAGUAGUGUUCCAAGUGAAAUAGUGUCGUGGAAUACUAUUAAAACGGCGUGGAUUGGACCAAGAAUUGAAUCAAAUCCGACCACAAUUGAAGAAAAUAACAGCAGAACAUAUUUGUGAGGACAAAAUAAAGAAGAUGCGUGUUAAGUACGCAACACAAGUGUUGAGUGGGACGGUUGCCAGCUACAUCGAAACAUUGGCAAGAUCAAAGUGUGUAGUGGGCACCGAUGACAAUAAAUUGAAAAUAAAUAUUAAAGACGAACUUGCAACGACCGAAGCAGUGAACUUUUUCAACGAUUUGUUCGACAGUGUUAAUGGUAGUGACAAAGAGUGUACAGAAGAUAAUGAACUUCGACGUCCAGUGACUGAAGACAGUGAUCAUCGUGUGUUUUGGAGGACAGUUUAUGUCGUCACAAACUCGGGAACAGAGACUUAUACGAGGAAAACGUCUUUUGAACAAGCUUAAGCACCCUGAAGUUCCUAACAUGUUGUGGUUUUUUUCUGACGAAAAAAUUUCGACCAAGACCAAAAAAUCAAUCGGAGAAAUGACAGGUAGUUAUGCUCACAUCCUACAGAGGUUCCCUGUGUUAUGCACACGAAGUUUCCAGCAACUGUCAUGGUUUUAGGAGUUGUGAGCAA